rnacentral:rRNA from 1 species
UACGGGGGGGGCAAGCGUUGUUCGGAAUUACUGGGCGUAAAGGGCUCGUAGGCGGCCAACUAAGUCAGACGUGAAAUCCCCAGGCUUAACCUGGGAACUGCGUCUGAUACUGGAUGGCUUGAAUUCGGGAGAGGGAUGCAGAAUUCCAGGUGUAGCGGUGAAAUGCGUAGAUAUCUGGAGGAACACCGGUGGCGAAGGCGGCAUCCUGGACCAAUUCUGACGCUGAGGAGCGAAAGCCAGGGGAGCAAACGGG